ACAUUCUCCUUCAGGUAGGUAUGUGACUAUCGCGCGAUGUGAUCUCAAUACCGUGGCCCCGGCAACGGUUUCAGAACGAGUUUGGGUUGCUCUGUAAGGGGUGGCUUUAAAUGGGUGUAGAUUUGGCAGUUUCUCGCCAAUUUGGCUUAUUUUCGCUGAUGACGUAGCUGAGAAAAUUCCCCUUCACCCCGAUGUCAAAUUUUGAAGAUCGGACGCAUGGAAGAUGGAUUUGGAUCAUGUGAAAGUCUAAUGUUGUCUUUACCAUCGUGACCGGCCCUGAAGGAAAGUUUUGACAGUUUUUAAACCUAUUUUAACAGCUUGUUCAUAUAUUUUUCUAGGUGUGUUGUGAAUAUAAAUCGAAUCUAAACAUCCCAUCAUUUGUUUUUUACUUCCUCA